CUUUCUCUCUCUCUCUCUCUGUCUCUCUCUCUCUCUCUACCGACGGGAGUUCGGCACAGGCAGAGGUGGUCGGGAGUUGGUCGGAGCAGUGAGGGAGGAAGAGUCGUGUGGGUAGCGAACGGGAGAGGAGAGUCGUGGAAGGAAGUCGCGUGAAAGAGUCGAGCAGCCCCUCGCUAUUUAACGACGAUUUGGGCGCUCGAUCGAGGCGAGCUCGCGGCUUUUGAGCAGGAUUUCACGGGACAGAGACUGAACGGCGCCGAACAGUGGGAUUUCGGCAGGUUUCGUGGAUCCGAAAGAACAAUGAUUGCUACUAUUUUUGGUGGUUCAAAUUGCGUGGACAAUAAUAAGAAACAGUUGAGUUGCUGUGGGGAAGACUCUUGCUUGGGGAAAUCAUUUGGAGCGAUGUGGAUGGGCCGAUUCAAUCAUUCAGGGGAAAUGUUCCCAAUGCAUGUGCUGGAACUGAUGCGAGCCACAGGGUCGCACGCGAAGCCAAAGCAGGCUGAAGACAGGGUGUGUGGGAGACAGUCCCUGGCCGAUAACAUGUGUAUGCAGACUGAUUCGAGGCACCGCACAUGCAAGACAUGUGGGAUUUAUGGGGCACACUGGAGGCGCAGAACUCGUAGAAAGCAGGUUUGGGGCAUCAGAAUCACAGAGCUGGGUAGUUCGACUUGAAAAAUUGGGAUGCCGAAUACGUGUGGGGUUGAGGUUUCUUGAAUUACCGUUUCCCAUGGCUUUUCUUUGCUUGAAUCUUGUAUGACAUUUUUGUAGUAGCGUGAUCUCUCGCUACAUAUCUUCAAGCGAUUAUUGAAUUGGUUGUUGCAGUCUUUGUCGAGGC